GUCGUGCUCUGCGCAAGAGGGAAGUCCUGAUUUUUGGGGUGCCACAAGCCUGAGACAAAACAAAUUUCCAUUUUCAACCGGAAUGAAAUGAAGAAAACAGAUAAAAGCCACAUACAAAAUCUCAUUGAGGGUCUUUUUGCUUUUUAACUGUAAAAAUUUACAACUAAAAUGAAAAGUGCCUCGGAAUGAAAUAUUAAAUCCAAGCUGGUGUCUGUCCACCUGUCCUUAGGAAGUCUCAACUUACGAAGUCCACAAAAUUUCUCAAAAAAGAGUUUUAUCACUUUGAAUUUGUCCCCUGCUUAAAAUCCCUCAAAAUAUACAAUAUCUAAUAAAAAUCAGCCUUUUACUUAUAAAAUAAAUUCAUUUAUCAGCA
rnacentral:antisense_RNA from 1 species